rnacentral:rRNA from 1 species
UACGAAGGGGGCUAGCGUUGCUCGGAAUUACUGGGCGUAAAGGGCGCGUAGGCGGAUAGUUUAGUCAGAGGUGAAAGCCCAGGGCUCAACCUUGGAACUGCCUUUGAUACUGGCUAUCUUGAGUACGGGAGAGGUGAGUGGAACUCCGAGUGUAGAGGUGAAAUUCGUAGAUAUUCGGAAGAACACCAGUGGCGAAGGCGACUCACUGGCCCGUUACUGACGCUGAGGCGCGAAAGCGUGGGGAUCAAACAGG